rnacentral:rRNA from 1 species
GGGGAACCGCCUGAACUGAAACAUCUAAGUAGGGCGAGGAAGAGAAAUCAACCGAGAUUCCGCUAGUAGUGGCGAGCGAACGCGGAAGAGGCCAAACCGGAGGUAGCAAUAUUUCCGGGGUUAGGACUGCAAUAUGUAACUUUAAUCUUUAACUGAAUGCUUUGGGAAGAGCAGCGAUACAGGGUGAUAGCCCCGUAAGUGAAAAGGAUUGAGUGCUAGCAGUAUCCAGAGUACCAGCGGACACGUGAAACCCGCUGGGAAGAUGGGGGGACCAUCCUCCAAGCCUAAAUACUACUCAGUGACCGAUAGUGGAGCAGUACCGUGAGGGAAAGGUGAAAAGUACCCCGGGAGGGGAGUGAAAAAGAACCUGAAACCUUGUGCCUACAAGCACCGAGAGCACGUUAAAGUGUGAUCGGGUACUUUUUGUAGAACGGUCCGGCGAGUUAAUAUUUGCAGCGAGGUUAAGGAACUGGAGUUCCGGAGCCGCAGCGAGAGCGAGUCUGAAUAGGGCGUAUGAAGUUGCAGGUAUUAGACCCGAAACCGGGUGACCUAUCCAUGAGCAGGCUGAAGCGGUGGUAAGACACCGUGGAGGGCCGCACCCACGUCUGUUGAAAAAGCCGGGGAUGACUUGUGGAUAGCGGAGAAAUUCCAAUCGAACUCGGAGAUAGCUGGUUCUCCCCGAAAUAGCUUUAGGGCUAGCGUUAUGUUAGAUUACCGGAGGUAAAGCACUGAAUGGUAGCGGGGCCGAUAAGGUUACCAACGCCUAUCAAACUAAGAAUGCCGGCUAAUUGAUGCAUAGCAGUCAGACAGUGUGAGAUAAGUUUCAUUGUCAAAAGGGAAACAGCCCAGACCUACAGCUAAGGUCCCGAAUAGAUGCUAAGUGGAAAACGAUGUGGAGUUGCGAAAACAACCAGGAUGUUGGCUUAGAAGCAGCCACUCAUUAAAAGAGUGCGUAAUAGCUCACUGGUCGAGUGACUCUGCGCGGAAAAUAUAACGGGGCUAAGCGUAACACCGAAGCUUGGGCUGCACAGCAAUGUGCGGGGUAGGGGAGCGUCGAAUAUGGGGUGAAGUCGCAGCGGAAGCAGCGGUGGACUGUAUUCGAGUGAGAAUGCCGGAAUGAGUAGCGAGAAUUAUGUGGGAAUCAUAAUGGCCGAAAAUCUAAGGUUUCUUGGGGAAGGUUCGUCCGCCCAAGGUUAGUCGGGAGCUAAGCUCAGGCCGAAAGGCGUAGGCGAUGCACAUACGGUAGAAAUUCCGUAACCACCGAACAUUUAAGCUAGAGGGACGCUUUCUUUAAGGUUAUCCCGGGCGAUGGUUGCCCCGGGCGUAAGGGACCGAAAUAUAGUAGGGAAGUAACUGGCGAGAGAGACGAGAAAAGCUCUGGUGUAUACUAAGGUGCCCGUACCGCAAACCGACACAGGUAGAUGGGAUGAGUAUUCUAAGGCCAACGGGAGAAGGGUUGUUAAGGAACUCGGCAAAUUGGCCCCGUAACUUCGGGAUAAGGGGCGCCUGCGAGAGCAGGCCGCAGUGAAAAGGCCCAAGCGACUGUUUAGCAAAAACACAGCUCUCUGCUAAAUCGAAAGAUGACGUAUAGGGGGUGACGCCUGCCCGGUGCUGGAAGGUUAAGGGGAGUGCUUAGCGCAAGCGAAGGUGCGAACUUAAGCCCCAGUAAACGGCGGCCGUAACUAUAACGGUCCUAAGGUAGCGAAAUUCCUUGUCAGGUAAGUUCUGACCCGCACGAAUGGCGUAACGACUUG